UACGGAGGGUCCAAGCGUUAUCCGGAAUCAUUGGGUUUAAAGGGUCCGUAGGCGGCCUUAUAAGUCAGUGGUGAAAUCUCCCGGCUCAACCGGGAAAUUGCCAUUGAUACUGUAGGGCUUGAAUUACUGGGAAGUAACUAGAAUAUGUAGUGUAGCGGUGAAAUGCUUAGAGAUUACAUGGAAUACCGAUUGCGAAGGCAGGUUACUACCAAUAUAUUGACGCUGAUGGACGAAAGCGUGGGUAGCGAACAGG
rnacentral:rRNA from 1 species